rnacentral:tRNA from 1 species
GGCAGUAUAGCCAAGUGGGAAGGCAGAGGACUGCAAAUCCUUUAUCACCAGUUCGAAUCUGGUUACUGCCU